rnacentral:rRNA from 1 species
GACGGGGGGGGCAAGUGUUCUUCGGAAUUAUUGGGCGUAAAGAGCUCGUAGGCGGUCUGUCGCGUCGGCUGUGAAAACUCGGGGCUCAACUCCGAGCUUGCAGUCGAUACGGGCAGGCUAGAGUUCGGCAGGGGAGACUGGAAUUCCUGGUGUAGCGGUGAAAUGCGCAGAUAUCAGGAGGAACACCGGUGGCGAAGGCGGGUCUCUGGGCCGAUACUGACGCUGAGGAGCGAAAGCGUGGGGAGCGAACAGG